GGAGGAGAUCCAGGAGGGAGGCAGCUGGGAGUUUAUUCUCUUGGGCUAAAGUCAGGACUAGAGGAUCCUAAGACAGGCAGCGAAGCCUGGGGCCAGCGAAAUAACCACGGACCCUACCCUGCACGCUGCUGCGGAGCAUCUCCGGUGAGCCGCUGAGCAGCCACAGGCGGCCUCCCAUUGAAGCCAGCAGGAGCUGAAGGUUGCCUUCGUUCCCGGCUGACCCGUCGAGUCGCCGUGCAGAGUGCACUGGAAUCACAAACCAGGGAGAAUUCUCCUAGCCUCUCCCAGCAAGUCAUGGAUCAGGGAAGGAUCUAGCCCCAGUGGCUGGAGGGAAUCCCUAAAGCAGUCACGCAGGGGGCAGGAUAGAGAAAAAUGUCAGAGCACUGCCCAUGGGGAAGCUGACAGCUACUGCCAAGCUAGGCAGAGUCACUGCAGGAAUCUCUUAUGCUGUAAGUAAGAAACAAGGGAACAUCAUGCCAAGUUAGGAGAAAACCAAUUCAUCUUCCCUAACCUAUUUCUGGACAUGCUCUGAAGGGAAGAGAAGAAACUGUCUGUCAGGAUCAAAGGAAAUUAUGCAUGUUGAACUGACAACCGGUCUUUCUGUGAGUUCACACCAUCAAGUGGCAGAUUGGCACUGCUGUCUCUGUUAUAUCCCCGAUUUUUCCACUCGGCAGAUCCCCUGGCAAUGCUCACUAUAUUUAAGCUGAUGGAACCCUUCCAAAGCUGGAGUGGCUACCAGCGGUAGGAGACAGACCCGAGAAGCCAGCUAAAUAACAUGGGCCUACUCUGUUACUCCCUUCCUUCCCCUGAAGUAAGGAUGCUGUUGGAUUGUAAAGGGGGUGGGGUGGCUAUUCUAAGACCUGGCUCCUGGUGUAAAUUAGUGCAGCCUUGGGGCUGCACUAACUUAUGGCCCUGAUGGGGCCUGAGGAACAGAGAACAAACAGUUCAGCAUACUAUGGCCAUGCCGCCUAUGCUGUGGGGUGGGAGCACAGCCUUUGGUAGCCCUUAUGCCAGCUGUACGCCUGCUGGAGAGGCCCUCUGCCCAGGAGGGAUUCACGUGCUCUGGGGCAAUCGCAAAAGAGGAAGCGGGAAUGAACAGAAAACUGAGCUGAACCGUUCACACACACACCCCACCCAGAGAAUCUGGAUUCAGUGACGACUUGAGUCAUAAGUGGAAAGGAAUUUGGAGCGAAAGCCUGUCCUCAUUUAUGCUUGUUCCAACCUCACUCUGGCUGUACUGGUGUAACUGAGGCCAGAAUCUGGCCCUUGAUGCCCUGGUAACACUGGGCUUUUGUCUACCGUAUACGCACAGGUAUGUGCCCAUACACAAAUGA